UACGGAGGGUGCAAGCGUUAUCCGGAAUCACUGGGUUUAAAGGGAGCGUAGGCUGCUGCAUAAGUCAGGGGUGAAAGUUUGUCGCUUAACGAUAGAAUUGCCUUUGAUACUGUGCGGCUUGAAAUUAGGUGAGGUUGGCGGAAUGUGACAUGUAGCGGUGAAAUGCGUAGAUAUGUCAUAGAACACCGAUUGCGAAGGCAGCUGGCUAACCUAAAUUUGACGCUGAUGCAAGAAAGCGUGGGUAGCAAACAGG
rnacentral:rRNA from 1 species